rnacentral:tRNA from 1 species
GUUGAUAUGGCCGAGUUGGUCAAAGGCGCCAUAUUAAGGUUCUGGUCCGAAAGGGCGUGGAUUCAAAUCUACUCUCAACA